rnacentral:rRNA from 1 species
AGAGUUUGAUCCUGGCUCAGGAUGAACGCUGGCGGCGUGCCUAAUACAUGCAAGUCGAGCGAACGGACGAGAAGCUUGCUUCUCUGAUGUUAGCGGCGGACGGGUGAGUAACACGUGGAUAACCUACCUAUAAGACUGGGAUAACUUCGGGAAACCGGAGCUAAUACCGGAUAAUAUUUUGAACCGCAUGGUUCAAAAGUGAAAGACGGUCUUGCUGUCACUUAUAGAUAGAUCCGCGCUGCAUUAGCUAGUUGGUAAGGUAACGGCUUACCAAGGCAACGAUGCAUAGCCGACCUGAGAGGGUGAUCGGCCACACUGGAACUGAGACACGGUCCAGACUCCUACGGGAGGCAGCAGUAGGGAAUCUUCCGCAAUGGGCGAAAGCCUGACGGAGCAACGCCGCGUGAGUGAUGAAGGUCUUCGGAUCGUAAAACUCUGUUAUUAGGGAAGAACAUAUGUGUAAGUAACUGUGCACAUCUUGACGGUACCUAAUCAGAAAGCCACGGCUAACUACGUGCCAGCAGCCGCGGUAAUACGUAGGUGGCAAGCGUUAUCCGGAAUUAUUGGGCGUAAAGCGCGCGUAGGCGGUUUUUUAAGUCUGAUGUGAAAGCCCACGGCUCAACCGUGGAGGGUCAUUGGAAACUGGAAAACUUGAGUGCAGAAGAGGAAAGUGGAAUUCCAUGUGUAGCGGUGAAAUGCGCAGAGAUAUGGAGGAACACCAGUGGCGAAGGCGACUUUCUGGUCUGUAACUGACGCUGAUGUGCGAAAGCGUGGGGAUCAAACAGGAUUAGAUACCCUGGUAGUCCACGCCGUAAACGAUGAGUGCUAAGUGUUAGGGGGUUUCCGCCCCUUAGUGCUGCAGCUAACGCAUUAAGCACUCCGCCUGGGGAGUACGACCGCAAGGUUGAAACUCAAAGGAAUUGACGGGGACCCGCACAAGCGGUGGAGCAUGUGGUUUAAUUCGAAGCAACGCGAAGAACCUUACCAAAUCUUGACAUCCUUUGACAACUCUAGAGAUAGAGCCUUCCCCUUCGGGGGACAAAGUGACAGGUGGUGCAUGGUUGUCGUCAGCUCGUGUCGUGAGAUGUUGGGUUAAGUCCCGCAACGAGCGCAACCCUUAAGCUUAGUUGCCAUCAUUAAGUUGGGCACUCUAAGUUGACUGCCGGUGACAAACCGGAGGAAGGUGGGGAUGACGUCAAAUCAUCAUGCCCCUUAUGAUUUGGGCUACACACGUGCUACAAUGGACAAUACAAAGGGCAGCGAAACCGCGAGGUCAAGCAAAUCCCAUAAAGUUGUUCUCAGUUCGGAUUGUAGUCUGCAACUCGACUACAUGAAGCUGGAAUCGCUAGUAAUCGUAGAUCAGCAUGCUACGGUGAAUACGUUCCCGGGUCUUGUACACACCGCCCGUCACACCACGAGAGUUUGUAACACCCGAAGCCGGUGGAGUAACCUUUUAGGAGCUAGCCGUCGAAGGUGGGACAAAUGAUUGGGGUGAAGUCGUAACAAGGUAGCCGUAUCGGAAGGUGCGGCUGGAUCACCU